rnacentral:rRNA from 1 species
UAGGUGAGGGAGGUGGGCAGGUGGCUAGGCGGCCUUGGCUAAGUAUCUGAAAAAGAACCUUUGGCAGCAGCUACCUCAGGGCCCGGUAAUCAGGGCCGCUCUGCCGCGACGGCAUGCGCAUGCGCGGCGACCGGGGCAGGCUGCAGCGCCUCCUCGCGGCGCCGCCGCCGCCGCCGCCCCACUCCACCGCGCGCACGCAGCGGCACGACCGGCGGAGCCGGGACCACCACGACCAGCACCGGUCGCGCGACCGGCCCAGGCCGUCCCACCUGGCCCAGCACCCGCCGCUGCACCAGCGCCUGUACGGCGGCGACCGCCUCUGCCGGGCCUCGGCGCCGGCCCUGCGGCCGCACAGCCUCUUCUGGAGGCCGCGCCGCCUGCUCUACCACCCCGAGGAGCCGCGGCCGCCGCUGCGGCUGCCGAAGGGGACCUCGUUGCGGUACGACGUCACCGUCGCGUGGCCGAAGGUAAAGGUCGGGCUCUUCUUGACCUACUUGCUAGGGUUGCCAGGGCACAUGAUGGCGCCUACCAUGGUGGAGAAGAUGGUCAUGUUGGGCCUCCCCCGCCACACCCCCUUGUAGCGCACCCCGGUGCGGCACAGGGCGCUGGAGUAGGUGACCGCGGUGGAGGGCGAGCGGUACCACGGGCUGGUCACCAUGCUGUAGUUGCCGCAGACCUGGCCGAGGCGGUGGCACGAGGGGCUGCCGAGGGAGCAGUACGAGAUGUGGCCGAGGUGGUUGCGGAGGCACGUUCAGGUCACGGAGCGGCAGGGGCGGCUGGGGUUGCUGAGGGAGGAGGCGUUGACCUGGUUCAUGCUCCGGUUGGGAUAGGAGCAGGGCGGCGGGCCGUAGCCGCUGUUCCUGAAGGCACUGGGGUGGUGGCGGACCAAGCUGCUCAGGCUGUUCUGGACCGCGUGGCAGUAGCCCAGGUUCCUGUUGGUGCCGGUGUGGCCGUAGCAGUACUGGAUGUUCUGGUUCCUGAAGUAGUUGAUGCUCGAGUAGGGGCCGGAGGAGGUGUCGCAGGGACCGUGGCCGUACACCCUCACGUAACUGAAGAUGGGGCAGCCGCCGCGGCUACCGAGUCUCCUCGACAUGCACUACUUCCUCUCGUCGCUGCUGCUGGCGGUGCUGACCAUGCGCGAGCCCUCCAUGCUGCGGCGCCGGUUGUUCAUGUGCGGCUAGCUGCGCCUCUACCUACAGCCCUAGCCCGAGUCCAUACUGACCCCGUUCAAGAUGCGCAGGUUCUGGAAGAUGCUGGGGAGGUUCUUGGCGGCGCACGAGACCCCCACCUAGCCGCUCUGGCUGAGGCUCGCGCGGCUGCAGCGGUUCCCUACCCGCAGGGAGGUCAGGUAGGGGUCCUGCCACCUUGACCUGCUCUUCUGGGCCUGCUUGGAGUAGGUCACCGGGCACUAGCUCUAGCUCUGCGAGGCGUAGUUGAGGUGGCUGGAGCCGCCGUGGUGGUAGCUGUGGCCGUCGCACGAGGGAGAGGGCGAGGCGGCGCGGUGGGUCGAGCUGUAGCUCCGGUGGAAGGUGGAGCUGCGGAGGCGGCAGCGGAGGCAGUUGCUCCGGCUGCAGCCGAUGUUGACGUCGUGGUCGCCACCACGGCGGUUGGCACCGCGCGAGCCGGGGAAGCCUGAGGAGCAGGAGCGACUGCCACGGGAGUUCCUCGUCUGCCGCCACAUGAAGAUGCACAGCUCCCCGUAGCUACCCCCGGAGGUCUGGGUAAAGACGGUCCUGCUCAGCGCCAGCAGCGACCGGGUCCUGCAGCACUUCGCCCACCAGCCGAAGUGGCACGGACACGAGCUGCCACUCCUAGAUAGUGAGUCCCACGACCACCUGGUGAGCUAGCACCUCUGGAAGCGGUACCCACCCUCCAGGUGGCGCUGCAGCUCCCACAUAGGCUGCCUCCGGUAGAUGCGGCGGCGACCGCACAUGGAAAAGUUGUUGCGGUGACCGCGGCGGCAGUGGCAGCUCUUCGAGCACCACGUGCUCUACCUGCUGAGGAUGUUGGUCUAGAAGUGCCGGCUGCUACGGAGCCGGCGGAACAUCGACUUAGAUUAGUUCGAGAACCGGGCCAUUACGUAUAAGUGGAUAUGAUGUAUAAUACUAAGCUAGCCGCCAGUGUAACUAGCCAGCCGCCGAAGGAGGGAGUACCUACCUACCUCUACCUCAUGAUCGAUGCAUGAGAUCAGUAGAAGGACAAGCAAACAAACAACAAAAAAGAAGGAAAACCUAAAACCCAAAAACCACUCUACUUAAUCAAUCUGCUAAACAACCGCCCUACCAAUGACGGAAGGUUCACAUUGAUAACCGUCCUACCUAUACAUAGGACGUCGUCCUGAUACUACUACUACUAGCAUAACUAGUUAGUUAACAUUUACUUUAAUAACCCCUUUCUCGCCCCAUGCGCACACGCGACGGUGGUUAAAAAACUUUACUUUAAAAGACUGAAGGUUGA